UACGUAGGUGGCAAGCGUUGUCCGGAUUUAUUGGGCGUAAAGCGAGCGCAGGCGGUUUCUUAAGUCUGAUGUGAAAGCCCCCGGCUCAACCGGGGAGGGUCAUUGGAAACUGGGAGACUUGAGUGCAGAAGAGGAGAGUGGAAUUCCAUGUGUAGCGGUGAAAUGCGCAGAGAUAUGGAGGAACACCAGUGGCGAAGGCGACUUUCUGGUCUGUAACUGACGCUGAUGUGCGAAAGCGUGGGGAUCAAACAGG
rnacentral:rRNA from 1 species